UACAGAGGUCUCAAGCGUUGUUCGGAAUUACUGGGCGUAAAGGGCUCGUAGGCGGCCAACUAAGUCGGAUGUGAAAUCCCCAGGCUUAACCUGGGAACUGCAUCCGAUACUGGAUGGCUUGAAUUCGGGAGAGGGAUGCAGAAUUCCAGGUGUAGCGGUGAAAUGCGUAGAUAUCUGGAGGAAUACCGGUGGCGAAGGCGGCAUCCUGGACCGAGAUUGACGCUGAUGAGCGAAAGCUAGGGGAGCAAACGGG
rnacentral:rRNA from 1 species